AAUAUUGCACAAUGGAGGAAACUCUGAUGCAGCGACGCCGCGUGAGUGAAGAAGGUCUUCGGAUCGUAAAACUCUGUCCUCAGGGAAGAAACAAAUGACGGUACCUGAGGAGGAAGCCCCGGCUAACUACGUGCCAGCAGCCGCGGUAAUACGUAGGGGGCUAGCGUUGUCCGGAUUUACUGGGCGUAAAGGGUGAGUAGGCGGUUGCAUAAGUCAGAUGUAAAAGGCUAAGGCUUAACCAUAGUAUGCAUUUGAGACUGUGUGACUUGAGUGCAGGAGAGGUAAGCGGAAUUCCUAGUGUAGCGGUGAAAUGCGUAGAUAUUAGGAGGAACACCAGUGGCGAAGGCGGCUUACUGGACUGUAACUGACGCUGAGUCACGAAAGCGUGGGUAGCAAAC
rnacentral:rRNA from 1 species